rnacentral:lncRNA from 1 species
CACACUUGGAAGGGGAAGACUCGGGCUGUUCUCAGUGGUGUGUCUAAGGUUUUAGAUGUCCUCCUUUUUUCGCAGGGAGGCCGUUAAAUCGUGCUGCUGGGAACCAUACGGGCAGAUACUUAACUUUAAAAAAAAGGUGAACACGGGAGCAUACAGAAUACUUUAUGAUAUUAAUAGAUGGAGUCCAGAGCAACGUGGUUUCCCUCAACAAUGUCAGAGCCACAGUGAAACUGAAAAAAACACCUCCUUGAGUAACGAGUACUGCCUGCUGGCACUGAAGAAUUGCAGAAUCAUGGAAUUGUCGGAGUUGGAAGGGACCUUCUAGAGAUCAUCCAGUCCAACUCCCCUGCCAAAGCAGGGCUGCCCAGAGCACAGCACUCAGGAGCAUCCAGGUGGGGCUUGAAGAUCUCCAGAGAAGGGGACUCCACACCCUCCCUGGGCAGCCUCUGCCAGGGCUCUGCCACCUUCACCCCAAGAAGUUCUUCCUCAGAUUGGAGUGGAACUUCCCAUGUUCCAACUUGUGCCCGUUGCCCCUCGUCCUGUCACUGGGAACCACUGAAAAGAGUCUGGCUCCAUCCUCCUUCAACCCACCCUUCAGAUACUUGUCAGCAUUCAUAAGGUGAUGAGGUAAGAAAAAGCUGAGCGGCCUUAGGAAUAUCUCCUAGAGGUAAUAUCAAAAGCUGGCACCUUUUCUUGCAAUCUAUUUUCUAGUGAAAAUAGGGUUAAAAGGCAGGAUACUGAAAGAGAAUGAUGACCAGAAUUUGUGUAAGAGAAGGAGAAAGGAGAAAACCACGAGGAUGAAACUUGGGGUCAGGGUUGAGGACAUGCCAGUAGAGAUGGGAAACCAAGACAGGAUGGAGAAGCACGAGGCCUGCAAGGGUCUACAGGUUUGUUGAGGGGCCUGUGGAAGCAGAGAGCCUCACAGCCAGUGAGGGAGAAAAUUUAAUGGGCUUUCCUAUGUGGCAGGUGCCUGAAGGGAGUGCAGUGUUUAAUACAUCAUUACUCCAUCCAAAAUGAUUCCUGCCAGAUAUUUAUUUUUUUUCACUUUUAACACCGCUCUUUAGUCUUUCCAUCCUACUAUUUUGGUAAAAAUCUGUUUUAUAUAGACUAUAGUUACAUAUUCAUAGAUAUAUUCAUGUCUAUCAGCCUAUACUUUGGCUAUACUGUUCAUAUACAUUAUAGCCAAAUCUGGUAUGCUUUUGUUUUGAGAAGAAUUCCUUAUCAUUUUGCAUAGGUAUAAUAAUAUACUAUGUUUAGCAACCCUGUUCACAGCUCAGUGCCACCUGUUUUUAAGAUUCCCUGGCUCACACCUAAUAACUUGUGCU